GUGAAUGUUGUGUUUACACGUUUGGAUGUGAGCGUCUAUAAGCGUAGCUUUCUAUUUCAUUUAGGUGAUAUUAAGUUUAUUUCUUUAUUUAUUUACUGCUACACUAUAUUGUUGAUAUGAUUUCUUAUAGAAGGAAUAGUACAGACAAAUGAUAUAAUUUGUCAUCGUCGAUAUCAGAAUACUGGAUAGCAUAGGCUACUCGUGGUGGAGAGGCAUAUUAGAGCUCAGUGAGAGCCCAUAACAUUAUACAGCAGUGUUGUCUUGAUUUAAUUGGGAUUUGAGCAACUUUUCCACAAACAAAAUUCUGAUGCUGACACAGAUGAUGGAGUGAUAAUACCAGAGAUCAGCUGUCUCCAUCAGACAAUAAUGUUACUUUGUUCAGACAUAUCACCUUUGAAUGACUGGGAUCCUUAUCUUCAGACACCUGUUGUAUUUUAUUUUAAUAUUAUAAAAUAGCAAAUAUUUUAAUUUCUUUGGAGCUCUAGAUUAAAACAAACACAGUACACAAGAGGUUGCAGUUUAUUCUUAUUAGUCUCUGCUGAUCAUGGAUUAGCAUACCAACAGCAUAUGAAUGGAAUAGUUCAUCCAAAAAUAAAAUUCUCACUUAUUUUACUCACCCUCAUGCUGUCCCAGAUGCAUUUUACUUUCUUUCUACAGAUAAAUACGAAUUAAGAUUUUAAGGAAAGUAAUCCAUCUCUGCAAGCCCUAAAGAUGCUUUAAAAACCACACACAGUGACCGUGAUGUCCAUGUGACCUCAGUGGAUGAAUCAAUACUGAAGUGAAACAAUAGAAUAAAAAA